GCCUGUAAGUCCGUGGUGAAAUCUCUGAGCUUAACUCGGAAACUGCCAUGGAUACUAUGGGUCUUGAAUACUCGGGAGGUGAGCGGAAUAUGUCAUGUAGCGGUGAAAUGCUUAGAUAUGACAUAGAACACCAAUUGCGAAGGCAGCUUGCUACAGAGUUAUUGACGCUGAGGCACGAAAGCGUGGGGAUCAAACAGGAUUAGAUACCCUGGUAGUCCACGCCCUAAACUAUGGAUACUCGACGUUGGCGAUAUGACUGUCAGCGUCUGAGCGAAAGCAUUAAGUAUCCCACCUGGGAAGUACGACCGCAAGGUUGAAACUCAAAGGAAUUGGCGGGGGUCCGCACAAGCGGUGGAGCAUGUGGUUUAAUUCGAUGAUACGCGAGGAACCUUACCUGGGCUAGAAUGCUAAGUGACCGCGGGUGAAAGCUCGUUUUAUAGCAAUAUACACUUAGUAAGGUGCUGCAUGGCCGUCGUCAGCUCGUGCCGUGAGGUGUUGGGUUAAGUCCCGCAACGAGCGCAACCCCCAUCAGUAGUUGCCAUCAGGUAACGCUGGGAACUCUACUGAAACUGCCGUCGUAAGACGCGAGGAAGGAGGGGAUGAUGUCAGGUCAUCAUGGCCUUUAUGCCCAGGGCUACACACGUGCUACAAUGGGAGGGACAAAGGGCUGCCACUUAGCGAUAAGGCGCCAAUCCCAAAAACCCUCUCUCAGUUCGGAUCGCAGUCUGCAACUCGACUGCGUGAA
rnacentral:rRNA from 1 species